rnacentral:rRNA from 1 species
GACAGAGGUGCCGAGCGUUAGGCGGAAUCACUGGGCUUAAAGCGUGUGUAGGCGGACUUCUAAGUACCUUGUGAAAUCCCACGGCUCAACCGUGGAACUGCUCGGUAUACUGGUUGUCUUGAGCCACUUAGGGGCAGUCGGAACAGACGGUGGAGCGGUGAAAUGCGUAGAUAUCGUCAGGAACGCCAAUGGUGAAGACAGGUAACUGGGCUAGUUCUGACACUGAGGCACGAAAGCGUGGGGAGCGAACGGG